rnacentral:rRNA from 1 species
AUUGAACGCUGGCGGCAGGCCUAACACAUGCAAGUCGAACGAGUGGCGGACGGGUGAGGAAUGUCUGGGAAACUGCCUGAUGGAGGGGGAUAACUACCGGAAACGGUUGCUAAUACCGUCUACCAUCAGAUCUGUCCAGAUGUGAUUCGUUAGUUGGUGGGGUAACGGAUCACCAAGGCGACGAUCCAUAGCUGGUUUGAGAGGAUGACCAGCCACACGGGAACUGAGACACUGUCCAGACUCCUACGGGAGGCAGCAGUGGGGAAUAUUGCACAAUGGGGGCAAGCCUGAUGCAGCCAUGCCGCGUGUAUGAAGAAGGCCUUCGGGUUGUAAAGUACUUUCAGCGGGGAGGCGUUACCCGCAGAAGAAGCACCGGCUAACUCCGUGCCAGCAGCCGCGGUAAUUC